rnacentral:rRNA from 1 species
GACGAACGCUGGCGGCGUGCUUAACACAUGCAAGUCGAACGGAAAGGCCCUGCUUUUGCGGGGUGCUCGUGUGGCGAACGGGUGAGUAACACGUGAGUAACCUGCCCUUGACUUUGGGAUAACUCUAGGAAACUGGGGCUAAUACCGGAUAGGAGCUCCUGCUGCAUGGUGGGGGUUGGAAAGUUUCGGCGGUGGGGGAUGGACUCGCGGCGUUUCAGCUUGUUGGGGGGGUAGUGGCCUAGCAAGGUUUUGAAGGGUAGCCGACCUGAGAGGGUGAUCGGCCACCUGGGAGCGUGGACACGCUCCAGGGGACUGCGGGAGGCAGCAGUAGGGAACGGGCGGCAGUGGUGGGGAGCCUGACGGAGCGGGGGGGAGCGUGAUGUGGCGGCGCUGGGAGCGGGAUGACGGGUUACGGGGGGUGAACAGCUGUGGACUGUGACGAGGCGGGAGUGACGGUAAUUGGUAAGAAAGCACCGGCUAACUACGUG